GACGUAGGGGCCAGCGUUGUUCGGAAUUACUGGGUGUAAAGGGUUCGUAGGCGGUGUAGCAAGUCGGGAGUGAAAUCUCUAGGGCUUAACCCAGAGGCUGCUUCCGAAACUGCUGUGCUUGAGUGUGGGAGAGGCGCGUGGAAUUGCAGGUGUAGACGGUGAAAUGCGUAGAUAUCUGCAGGAACACCGGCGGCGAAGGCGGCUGCCUGGACCAGUCCUGACGCUGAGGCGCGGAAAGCUAGGGGAGCAAACAGG
rnacentral:rRNA from 1 species